AGCCAGUCCUCCAGGCAAGGCCAAACCACACAGCAACUGAGUUGGAAUAUCUUUUUUUUGUUUGUUUUUUGGGGAUAUUUUUGUGACACCGCUUACCCAAAUUAAACCUAAAAGAAGCAUAAUCACCAGGAUAAAAGAAACAUCACAAACAUCAACAACCGGUAGAGGAGUUGCAAGACACAUUCAUUCCCAAUCCAGACGUAGUGUCUGCGUCCCACGGUAUUCCAGUUCUCCAAUUUGGGAGUUCAGAGUGUACGUGUAUUUUUGCCAGUGAACUUGUGAAAAUGACUGAAUCUAAACUCCGCUUCUGCUGAAGACUGUGGCUUCAAAGAUAUUUUUCUAGGAGCAUCUUAACGUUAUCAGACAUUGCCUCGAAACUCCAAUUUUGAUUUAAAGGGACUUUUAAAAGCAGCUCACCGCGUCAUCUGCAGAUCGAGUCUCAUGAAGCAUGCAAUCAAUAAGACACCACAAGCAGCAGGGUAAACAAUUCCUGAAGUCUGGCAGCAGCGGACGGACUUCAUCAGUGACGGCCUCCUUCCGAGAUACGCCCGGUGCCUCUUGGAGAUGGGCUGCGUGUUGACCCGGUGUCAAGUCCGUGCUGCAGGAGGGCAUUCCAUCCGCUCCGCCAGGGCAGCGUGGGGUUUCACAGCACGCCUGCUUCCGGACCGCUCCAGAACAAAGACCCUGACUGGGGCCAAGACCUGCCGCCGCUCCUCUGAGCUCGUGCCACAAGCAAACAUACACAAUUGCACAACCGCACACUGUUGAACACACCCUCAGACAUAUACACGGGACGACGGCGGCUCUCUUGGGGCCCUUUUGGCCCAGCAUAUGACGGUUCCCAACAAUAGCCUUCAGCAGAUGCCCGCGGUCCAGAGCCAAACAGAUGGGAGGACCGGAGUGGAUUUGGACAGGCGAAGCGGUCGCCCGCAGCGCCAGCUUAAGACCCGAGGCUGUCACAGGAGUGUAUGGAGAUAAAUGAAUAUGGUGGGGGGCAAAACAGAGGGCAGUGCCAGGGUCCAGGAACAGCUUGCAGAGGGACAGGCUUGAAAGAGGCAAGGCACAUGCAUAGGAAACCAAGGGCGAGCUGGAUGCCCACCAAGACUAAUCCUCCACCUGAGGGCAGGGAGAUGGUUGUGCUUGAGGCAAGAGAAAACAUGAGUGGACGACAUGCUGGAAAAUUAGACUUGGAGGCCUUUAUUGGGUGCAUGAGAAACUAUGAACUACUGAAAUGAAGCAAUACUUACAAUGCAUGAGCUUGGUAACUAGCCUUGAUCUUUAUGUUGUCCGUCCCACUGUGAGAGUUACGUGACUUGCUGUACAACCACUUGCUUGACUGCGCACAGAGGGAUUUUACAUAGACUGUGAUAACGAUGUAACA